rnacentral:piRNA from 1 species
UAAGAAAGUAACAGUGGCACGGAUGUGU